CCUACGGGAGGCAGCAGUGGGGAAUAUUGCACAAUGGGCGAAAGCCUGAUGCAGCGACGCCGCGUGAGGGAUGACGGCCUUCGGGUUGUAAACCUCUUUCAGCAGGGACGAAGCGCGAGUGACGGUACCUGCAGAAGAAGCACCGGCUAACUACGUGCCAGCAGCCGCGGUAAU
rnacentral:rRNA from 1 species